rnacentral:rRNA from 1 species
CGCGUAGGCUGUGCUGUAAGUCAGGCGUGAAAGGCCCGGGCUCAACCUGGGAACUGCGCUUGAUACUGCGGCGCUUGAAGACGGGAGAGGAUGGCGGAAUUCCCAGUGUAGAGGUGAAAUUCGUAGAUAUUGGGAAGAACACCGGUGGCGAAGGCGGCCAUCUGGCCCGUUAUUGACGCUGAGGCGCGAAAGCGUGGGGAGCAAACA